UACGUAGGGUGCAAGCGUUAAUCGGAAUUACUGGGCGUAAAGCGUGCGCAGGCGGUUAUGCAAGACAGGUGUGAAAUCCCCGAGCUCAACUUGGGAACUGCACUUGUGACUGCAUAGCUAGAGUACGGUAGAGGGGAGUGGAAUUCCGCGUGUAGCAGUGAAAUGCGUAGAUAUGCGGAGGAACACCGAUGGCGAAGGCAGCUCCCUGGACCUGUACUGACGCUAAUGUACGAAAGAGUGGGGAGCAAACACG
rnacentral:rRNA from 1 species